rnacentral:rRNA from 1 species
UAACACGUGGGGAACCUGCCCCAUAGUCUGGGAUACCACUUGGAAACAGGUGCUAAUACCGGAUAAGAAAGCGGAUCGCAUGAUCAGCUUUUAAAAGGCGGCGUAAGCUGUCGCUAUGGGAUGGCCCCGCGGUGCAUUAGCUAGUUGGUAAGGUAAAGGCGUACCAAGGCGAUGAUGCAUAGCCGAGUUGAGAGACUGAUCGGCCACAUUGGGACUGAGACACGGCCCAAACUCCUACGGGAGGCAGCAGUA